rnacentral:sRNA from 1 species
GUUGCACCUGCAUCACAAACAAGCAGCCAACUACAAUUCCCAGCAGGCCGUGGUCCUGUAAACGCAGCCUCUCCUUGCGUUUAGUGACGAGUGCAUUCUGGAACUUGUAGUCUUUUUUUAAUACUAAGGGCCAGGCUCGAGAUUAUAUGUACAAAACUACUUAGCCAUCUGUACGCCUCUGUCAUCCCGGACUCUUCGUGUUAAGCAAACUCAGUGGAAGAAAUGUAACUUAGAUGUGAUGACUCGGUGUAUAGUACACGUAAAAGUCACUUAACCAGCCGCCUUCAUUUCCGCAACUGUCAAGAGUAGUUCGUGCUUACACUUAGGUAGUCGUUGCAAACUUAUAGAGCAGUGCGAGAAGCAAUCCCUUGUAGAGUGGACUGGCAGAGCCCGAGGAAAAUAUGUCGCUUUAAUCGACUCAGACCCAGACCCUGCGAGUCGGAUUGUUUGAACUUCUGGGGACGAGUGGUCCGCUCCUCAUCCUCUCCGCCGCCCCCCAACACCUGUCGCCUGCUGCCUCGCGGUGGCGCUGCUUCCUGCACUGAACUGGCUAGCGGGUCCUGCUGUGUUUAAACAAGACCUGGAAUAAUUGAAUGGAACGAUAAAGUACGAUGCAAACGUCCAGCUGUGACCUCCUCCUCAUCUCCUACCCACUCCACACCCCCAGUUGGAGCUCAGUCUCCAGAAAGCAGAAAUUUGAUGACAUCAUCGCCCUGUCUCAAGCUCGGGAAGGUUCUGGACAUCCCGAGAGGAAGAGUCACCACCACCAUGCUGCCCAUCAUGGUGUGGUCCCCGAUGACCUGUUUGGAGAUUUCAGGAACCUGUCUCCUCCCCGUCAUCUCUGCUCCUUGGCGCUUGUCCCUGCGUCCUCUUUUUCUGGCUGGUACUUCCUCACCCCUGAGGAGUCACCUAAAGAGCGCCGCCCACUCUUCUUCAGCAGGCUGACCUUGCCAUCUCUAUAGAAUGAAACAUUUUGCUGAGACACUAUCUGACCCUUGAGUAGAUCUUCAGCCUCUGAAAGGCAGAAAGCACGCUUAUUGAAUGUUGGUCACCUUGGCGAAUGGGGCUGUUAGCCCUGGCCUAACACUCUGGCUCUGCUUUAUUCAGAGGACCUGGGGAGAGCUGUGUGGGACAGUCAGGUGUACAUGGCCUCUAGGUUCCUAUGGGAACCCGCAGCCUUCUGUUGCAGCCCCUGGCCCUGGCCACAAACAGUCCCGGCCCUUCUCUCACCUCG